CAUUUUCUCAUGAUGAUUCCAUAGUUCAACUGAUCGACUUUGAUGCACAACUUUUGCAAUGUCUUUCGCUCCUAUCUGACAAAGAAAACA